AGGAAAUCGCUACGUGUAGACACGGGCCUUAAGAAUUAAAAUUCAGGCGCACCAAAUAUACAAUAUUUUGAGCGAUGUUUAAAUUCUUAUACUUAUUUGCUUAAGAAGCACGAAGUGAGUCUUGUGCUGCAGUCAUUUUUUUAACAUCUGAAAUUUGUAUAAUUAGUUUUGUGUAAUUGCUUAAUUUUAAACACAAUACCAUGUCGGAGAAACGCGCGGGUUCAUGGCAGCAGCAUUCUUCAGAUGAAAUGGCUUUUGAGAAGGGAAUCUGGAGUGCAGCUUUGGAUGGGGAUGUUGAAAGAUUAAAGCAUUUUCUUUAUGAAGGUGUUGAUCCAUCUCUUUGUGAUUCUUCUGGAUACACAGCUUUAUGUAACUCCAGUAGAAUCUCACUUAUCUGAAAUAAUGGAAUCGUAUUGGAUAACACUUUCAAGUAAUCCAUGACAAUAAAAGGUUAUCUUGUAUUUUCUUUUGAAGCUCUUGGAAUGCUUCAAGGGCUGCGGUAUGUUAUUACUAAAUUUAAGUUUGUCGAUGAUGCUGCUAUUUACGAACACAGAUUUAUUAAGUAAAUCACGUGACUACUCAUGCUUUGUAGUCGAGUGUAGAUGUUCUGUUUAUUUUUGAUGGAUUCACAAUGCAACUUUUUUUUUUGGCUUGAAAAUAAAUUCACAUUUUUAAUACAGUCCA